AUAUCAUUUUAGGUUUUGGUAAGUUUUGGGGUUGCAAACAAAGACAGGUAAAAGGAAAGAGAAUGCUGUUUCAGACAAGGUGGUUAGGGUAGGCAGCAGUAACCUGCGUACCCUGGAGAAGUAAGCCACGUGGAGAUGGAGAGUAGAUAACACCAAGCAGAGGGAACAGCAAAUGCAGGGCCCUGAGGGGUCUCGAGGUUGGCAUGUUACAGGAACACAAGGGAGUGUGCAGUUGGAGACAGCCAGGGACCACAUGUACACGGCCUGGUACGCUUUGACAAGGACUUUGGAUCUUACUCUGAGUAUGAGAGAAAGCACUGGGAAGUUUCGAGGAAGUGCCAGACACAGCUUCAGAAUGUGACUCCUUAAAUUCUUCCAUUGGAAGGAAACAGUCUCCUCCUUUAAGCCUCGAGAUAUACCAAACAUUAUCUCCGCGAAAGAUAUCAAGAGAUGAGGUGUCCCUAGAGGAUUCCU
rnacentral:sRNA from 1 species